rnacentral:rRNA from 1 species
GACGAACGCUGGCGGCGUGCCUAAUACAUGCAAGUCGAACGCAGUGGGGCAGGGUGAGUAACACGUGGGUAACCUCCCCUCAGAGGGGAUAACACUUGGAAACAGGUGCUAAACCGAUACUGAUGGAUGGACCCGCGGUGCAUUAGCUAGUUGGUGAGGUAACGGCCAACAAAGGCCAAGAUGCAUAGCGGACCUGGAAGGGUGAGCGGCCACACUGGGACUGAGACAAGGCCCAGACUCCUACGGGGGGCAGCAGUAGGGAAUCUUCGGAAAUGGACGAAAGUCUGACCGAGCAACGCCGCGUGAGUGAAGAAGGUUUUCGGAUCGUAAAACUCUGUUGUUAGAGAAGCGGUAUCUAACCAGAAAGCCACGGCUAACUACGUGCCAGCAGCCGCGGUAAUUC